AACAGGGAUUGCCUCAGUAGCGGCGAGUGAAGCGGCAAAAGCUCAAAUUUGAAAUCUGGCGUCUUUGGCGUCCGAGUUGUAAUUUGAAGAAGGUAUCUUUGGGCCCGGCUCUUGUCUAUGUUCCUUGGAACAGGACGUCACAGAGGGUGAGAAUCCCGUGCGAUGAGAUGACCCGGGUCUGUGUAAAGUUCCUUCGACGAGUCGAGUUGUUUGGGAAUGCAGCUCUAAGUGGGUGGUAAAUUCCAUCUAAAGCUAAAUAUUGGCGAGAGACCGAUAGCGAACAAGUACAGUGAUGGAAAGAUGAAAAGAACUUUGAAAAGAGAGUGAAAAAGUACGUGAAAUUGUUGAAAGGGAAGGGCUUGAGAUCAGACUUGGUAUUUUGCAUGUUGCUCUCUCGGGGGCGGCCGCUGCGGUUUACCGGGCCAGCAUCGGUUUGGAGCGGCAGGAUAAUGGCGGAGGAAUGUGGCACGGCUUCUGCUGUGUGUUAUAGCCUCUGACGAUACUGCCAGCCUAGACCGAGGACUGCGGUUUUUACCUAGGAUGUUGGCAUAAUGAUCUUAAGUCGCCCGUCUUGAAACACGGACCAAGGAGUCUAACGUCUAUGCGAGUGUUUGGGUGUAAAACCCGUACGCGUAAUGAAAGUGAACGAAGGUGGGGGCCCAUUAGGGUGCACCAUCGACCGAUCCUGAUGUGUUCGGAUGGAUUUGAGUAAGAGCAUAGCUGUUGGGACCCGAAAGAUGGUGAACUAUGCCUGAAUAGGGUGAAGCCAGAGGAAACUCUGGUGGAGGCUCGUAGCGGUUCUGACGUGCAAAUCGAUCGUCGAAUUUGGGUAUAGGG
rnacentral:rRNA from 1 species